rnacentral:misc_RNA from 1 species
GAAAUGCGAUACGUAAUGCGAAUUGCAGAACGCGAGUCAUCAAAUCUUUGAACGCAGCUGGCGCUUCGGGUAACCGGAGCAUACUUGUUUCAGUGUCGUCUAACCCUCCCCUCACUGCGGUGCUUGCGCAAGCGGCACCGCGGUGGGCUGGCUGGUCGAUGAGUCUCACGGCCUAGCGCCGCGUGACUUUAAGCGCGGUUAAUGAGCCCUGCCAAGCAGUCCGGUUGCGGAUCCGCUUACGCAUGGUGUGGUAGCUACCUAGCAAUAGGUAUCACAAUACCCCCAAGUGUAGGCCCGCAGUACACCGCCUGCCUGUGCAGUGCCCAGGGCGCACCUUGCGUGCGCCCGCAACCCCUCCUUUUUCACUCUGACCUGAAAUCAAGUAAGAAAACCCGCUGAACUUAA